AUACGUAGGUGGCAAGCGUUGUCCGGAUUUAUUGGGCGUAAAGCGAGCGCAGGCGGUUUUUUAAGUCUGAUGUGAAAGCCUUCCCCCGGCUCAACCGAAGAAGUGCAUCGGAAACUGGGAAACUUGAGUGCAGAAGAGGACAGUGGAACUCCAUGUGUAGCGGUGAAAUGCGUAGAUAUAUGGAAGAACACCAGUGGCGAAGGCGGCUGUCAGGUCUGUAACUGACGCUGAGGCUCGAAAGUAUGGGUAGC
rnacentral:rRNA from 1 species